rnacentral:ribozyme from 1 species
ACCCCACACGACGCGCGCCUCCGAGUGGCGUGGGGUGGGCAACUACUCCUUGUGGAGUAGGCUAAGCGCGUCU